rnacentral:rRNA from 1 species
ACCGUGGUAAUUCUAGAGCUAAUACAUGCUAAAAACCUCGACUUCGGAAGGGGUGUAUUUAUUAGAUAAAAAACCAGCGCCCUUCGGGGCUCCUUGGUGAUUCAUAAUAACUAAACGAAUCGCAUGGCCUUGCGCCGGCGAUGGUUCAUUCAAAUUUCUGCCCUAUCAACUUUCGAUGGUAGGAUAGUGGCCUACCAUGGUAUCAACGGGUAACGGGGAAUUAGGGUUCUAUUCCGGAGAGGGAGCCUGAGAAACGGCUACCACAUCCAAGGAAGGCAGCAGGCGCGCAAAUUACCCAAUCCCGACACGGGGAGGUAGUGACAAUAAAUACUGAUACAGGGCUCUUUUGGGUCUUGUAAUUGGAAUGAGUACAAUUUAAAUCCCUUAACGAGGAACAAUUGGAGGGCAAGUCUGGUGCCAGCAGCCGCGGUAAUUCCAGCUCCAAUAGCGUAUAUUAAAGUUGUUGCAGUUAAAAAGCUCGUAGUUGAACCUUGGGCCUGGCUGGCCGGUCCGCCUCACCGCGUGUACUGGUCCGGCCGGGCCUUUCCUUCUGGGGAGCCGCAUGCCCUUCACUGGGCGUGUCGGGGAACCAGAACUUUUACUUUGAAAAAAUUAGAGUGUUCAAAGCAGGCCUUUGCUCGAAUACAUUAGCAUGGAAUAAUAGAAUAGGACGUGCGGUUCUAUUUUGUUGGUUUCUAGGACCGCCGUAAUGAUUAAUAGGGAUAGUCGGGGGCAUCAGUAUUCAAUUGUCAGAGGUGAAAUUCUUGGAUUUAUUGAAGACUAACUACUGCGAAAGCAUUUGCCAAGGAUGUUUUCAUUAAUCAGUGAACGAAAGUUAGGGGAUCGAAGACGAUCAGAUACCGUCGUAGUCUUAACCAUAAACUA